rnacentral:rRNA from 1 species
GAGUUUGAUCCUGGCUCAGAGUGAACGCUGGCGGCAGGCCUAACACAUGCAAGUCGAACGGCAGCACAGCAGUAGCAAUACUGUGGGUGGCGAGUGGCGGACGGGUGAGGAAUACAUGGGAAUCUGCCCUGUCGUGGGGGAUAACGUAGGGAAACUUACGCUAAUACCGCAUACGACCGGAAGGUGAAAGCGGCGGACCGCAAGGCGUCGCGCGACUGGAUGAGCCCAUGUCGGAUUAGCUAGUUGGCGGGGUAAAGGCCCACCAAGGCGACGAUCCGUAGCUGGUCUGAGAGGAUGAUCAGCCACACUGGAACUGAGACACGGUCCAGACUCCUACGGGAGGCAGCAGUGGGGAAUAUUGGACAAUGGGCGCAAGCCUGAUCCAGCCAUGCCGCGUGAGUGAAGAAGGCCUUCGGGUUGUAAAGCUCUUUUGUCCGGAAAGAAAAGCCUUCGGCUAAUACCCGGGGGUGAUGACGGUACCGGAAGAAUAAGCACCGGCUAACUUCGUGCCAGCAGCCGCGGUAAUACGAAGGGUGCAAGCGUUACUCAGAAUUACUGGGCGUAAAGCGUGCGUAGGUGGUUCGUUAAGUCUGAUGUGAAAGCCCUGGGCUCAACCUGGGAAUGGCAUUGGAAACUGGCGACCUAGAGUGCGGUAGAGGGCAGUGGAAUUCCCGGUGUAGCAGUGAAAUGCGUAGAGAUCGGGAGGAACAUCUGUGGCGAAGGCGAGUCUCUGGACGACUCCUGACACUGAGGCACGAAAGCUAGGGGAGCAAACAGGAUUAGAUACCCUGGUAGUCCUAGCUGUAAACGGUGCACGUUUGCUGUAAGAGGAAUCGACCCCUUUUGUGGCGAAGCUAACGCGCUAAACGUGCCGCCUGGGGAGUACGGUCGCAAGAUUAAAACUCAAAGAAAUUGACGGGGGCCUGCACAAGCGGUGGAGUAUGUGGCUUAAUUCGAUGCAACGCGAAGAACCUUACCUGGCCUUGACAUGCACGUAGUAGAAGCCUGAAAGGGUAACGACCCCGCAAGGGGAGCGUGCACAGGUGCUGCAUGGCUGUCGUCAGCUCGUGUCGUGAGAUGUUGGGUUAAGUCCCGCAACGAGCGCAACCCUUGUGUCCUGUUGCCACUCUAACGAGAGUUAGAAGCACUCUGGACAGACUGCCUCGCUUAAACGAGGAGGAAGGUGGGGAUGACGUCAAGUCAGGAUGGCCCUUACGGCCAGGGCUGCACACGUACUACAAUGCCUGGUACAAAGGGAAGCAAGACCGACAGGUGGAGCAAAUCCCAAAAAACCAGGCUCAGUUCAGAUUGUCGGCUGCAACUCGCCGACAUGAAGCUGGAAUCGCUAGUAAUGGCGCAUCAGCUACGGCGCCGUGAAUACGUUCCCAGGCCUUGCACACAC